AUGAAAGCUCUAUUCUGGAACAUUACGGAUUUUGGUGCUACGGGGCGUCGAGACCAAAUCAGAGAUGUUGUUCGUGGUGAUAAUAUUGACAUAGUUGGGCUAGUUGAAACUUUUAGAGAUUCCUUCUCCCCUAAUGAGCUUUCUGCGAUUAUGGGCAUGGAAAGAUUCGACUGGCAUGUCCUUCCUUUUUCUGGGCACUCGGUAGGGAUUCUGAUUGGAUCUAAACGGGACGUGUUUGAUUUUGUGGAUUUUGAUCAUGGGAUCUUUUGGGCAAGUAUUGUUGUGUAUCACAAAUCUCUUAACACUUUGUGGGAAUUCAUGGUUGUUUAUGGCCCAGCAGACCACUCACUGACCUCCCUCUUUCUGGAUGAAUUAUCUGCUAAGAUCGAGGCUUGUACUAUUCCGAUAGUUAUCGGCGGUGAUUUUAACCUCCUUCGUACACCCUCGGACAAGAGUAACUCUAAAUUUUCCUGGCCUUUGGGAAACGCUUUCAACGAUUUUAUUAGCAACUGUGCCAUUCGCGAGCUCCCUAGGGUUGGAGCCUGA
rnacentral:rRNA from 1 species